rnacentral:lncRNA from 1 species
GGAGCUGAAAAUGUCUCAACUUCAGCGGAUAUCUGCACAACGAUUACUAAUCAGCACGAAGGUUGUAAGGUGAUGUAUGAAAACGGAUGGUUGUUCACCGGUAUCUAAAAUGGAGGACGAAUAAUAUGAUACCUUUUCUUUCAAUUACUGAAACCAGAAUGAAAAGGAGCUCGCCUGGAGGCAAGUAAAUGAGGAGGUUGAAUUACCUGGUAAAUUGUAAAAAACUUUUGUCUAUAACUUGAUCCCGCCGGUUGAAUUGGCAGGGAUUACCAUUGAAAUUACUUUUGACACGCGAAUGAAGCGAGUAGAUGAUUUUACUCGCGCUUGGUGUGAGCGCCCUAUUACUCUGUGCCCAGCUAACUUCUGGCAGUACCUCUUUUAGCCACUUGGAUCCUUUUAUUACCACCCAAAGAUAGCAAACAGGGUUAAAAGAUGUAUUGCAGAUCAAGUCCUUAAUCUUCACUCUCAGUUUCUUCCUCACCAUGACGAUAAGAUGGAUGGAUGCUCGGGUGCAGCAUCGGUACGGUGGAGUACAGGACUGCGUUCAUGACAAGGAAACAAUUUCGUACUCAAACCGAAAUGUGUUGGUGUUGACUUUGGAGCUGGGAAAGACUCAAGUUGACUGAGUUCCAGUUGAGUUGAAAUCCAAGUUGGCAAUGACAAGCUUGUGGACGAAAUCCCCAUGGCAACAUGUUCAUAAAUAAAACUCGCAAAGUACUAUCAGUGUGAUUGAUUCUAUUCCACAAAACAAAACUAAGUUGCUGAUAAACACAGAGAAGAGUAGAGUUUCCAAGUGGGAAUUUUGCCUUCAGCGGACAAUCUGAGUGGUCUUCUCAUAUUUUCAAACGCUAGAGAUCAAAUGGGACUCACUGUCUCCUUUAUGCUCCUGUUAGGAACUUCAGGUUGAUUUCUGGUGCCUUCUGUGGACAUCACAACUCUGACAUCUUGUCCUGCAUCAAGUUAAAUUCAAACAGAGUUUUCUUAUCUUUUUUUCUACCAAUCCAUCAUUUUGAAUAUUUGUUGCUGUGAAUAUAAAAGAGGGGCUGCUACAAAGAUAGCCUGACACCUAACCACUUACAGUGGUCACACCCUGUAAACAUAACAAUACAGUACAGUCGAUCUUUGUGUUAAUUGUUGAAAUUUUCCUUUGUAGCACAUAAAGAGACUCUUAAUUUCAGUUUAAAUCCCCUCACAGGAGCUUUAAUUAUUGUAAGUUUGUUUUACUUCCUCAAGUCCAACUGUAAAAACGUUGUGAAAUAGUUAAACAGAAGGCUUUUUAUUUAGUUUUAACAGCUUUUUAUUGUUUUUAAUCAACGUUCAGUCAUGGCUUUAAGAUGACGUGUUUGUGGCUCCUGUUAAAACUCAGAGACGUUACGCUCAAGAUAAUACUGUUUUAAAAUAAUAAUUACAUAAAGAUGAUAAAGCUUGUUAGCUCCCUUUUAGUAGUAAAUGGAAACAUAUGAAAUUUAUGGUUUUAACACUGAAAAAGCAAAAGGCUGUUUCGACUGCACAGAGCAGUCAUUUUGGAAGAGUAGGCGUCCGACGAUUGAAUCAAGACCGAAAGUUUCCAAUUGGAGUUGGAUGUUUUUGUUACCUCGGCCCCUCAGCUGACUGUUAUUCCCCUUACUGUUGUGGUUUAACAACAUUCACUUCACACAGUCUGUUCAGUACUCCCACUGCUCCGCUGCUGCCUCUCUCUUUCAAUAAAAGUGAUCAUUUUCCAAAACAACAAAGCGCUGUAAGUGUGGUCGCUGCUGGUAAAGAGGGAUUUCGUUAUUAACUCUUAAAGGUCAGGGAUGCGUCACUUCUGUGUAAGAGACCUAUUUUCUCAAGCCCCCUUUAAGUCAGUCAGGCUGUUGACAAACUAAUAACCCUCACUGUGCCUUGAAGGAGCAGAGAGUGGCUGCAUCACUGGUACGUGAUCUCACUUUGGUUUUAUUUUUAAGAGACUUUUUAUUGUGUACUUGUAGCUGUUUUCACUAUUCCUAUUAUAACUUCAUGUUGAGUGUAUCUCAAGUUUAAGAGUAGUUUUGUUUCCAAUCAGUCAAUAUCAUUACCUCUUUCUCCUCUGUGUGCCAGAAAAGGUUAACAAACACCAGUUAACAUCAUGUGUUCGAUUUCUGAUCCAGUAUUUAAACACAGAAGAGAAGAUGAGGACAUUUUAGAUUAGCAACAUUUUUUAACAAAAGGGUCAAGAGCUGCUGAUUUAUGUUCUCUGAGCUCUCGUCAAUAUGCCUUUCUUUUUUUUUUACCGCUACCUGCUACCUGCUCUGAGAACAGUGUUUCCACCUGUUAACCAAUCACCUUCAAGCAUCUGAGUAAUUUAGGUGUGCUGGGUAUGAAGGGAAAUAAGAGGCGUAGUGUUGAAGGAGCUGUUGAAAGUUAUAGUGUCCUCUUCAUCUCUUCUAUAGUCUUAUUGUUUCCUAUCAUAUCUAAUUCUUUCUUAUCUAUGCUUAUGGAUUAGCAGAGGUAGAUUGUGGCUAAAGAAGUUCAGAGUGAAACUGAGAGAUGGUCCUGUUAAUGUUAGGAAGUUUGAUUCUAUAGACUGAGUAACAGGUUCAAAUUUUCAAGAGUGCAAAUAAAUUCAGCCGCUUCCUGCUUCUGGUCUAAAUAAUCUGGUUUUCUGGUUUUGCUUUAAAAAAAUAUAUAUUAACUACCUGCUUUUGUACCUUUUCAAUUUGUUUAUCGGGUAACAAGAUAGUCUCUAACCAUUCACUGACAAUAGCAUCUCAGUCUGCUCUUCAAUUAAACUCUGGCGACUGCAAAUUAAAGGUAUUUUUAUUAUAAUUCAUUCAAUAUUACGACCCAAUUUUUUCCUAAUCACCACACUGUGUUUGUAUUAUGAUUGGCCAAAACUCCUCGAAAAAGGGUUGAUCAUUCUGAAAAGUGACCCUAAAGAGACAGUCUGCUAAACACCACACAUAUAAAAUUAAUCAACAGGAAGAGGUACAGCACAUUUAGCUCGGACUUCACCGUCCCCUGUUGACAGUGUGUGAAAAAUAGGGUGGCAAAAUUCCAGGAAUUGGAAAGUUGGAAACUUUCCGUGGGAAUCAACAGGAAUUAAUCUGAAAUUUACAAAAUUGAAGGUUGGCCCUCGACAGGGAACUUCAAUAUAGUUUGAGAAAAUAUAUUGUAGCAUAAUCUUAGCUAAAACAAACAGAUUUAAUGUAAGUCCACUCCUCAAUCACAUGCACACCGCACACUGAUUACUGCAGGGCUAUUGAGGCCAAGCCCCCUACAUGCACUGUGUGUUCCUCCAUCACAUGUACAGGUGAUUUCUUGAACCCUGAUGGCCACACUUUUGAGCCCAAAGCACAAGACAUUUGAGCCCACAGACUAUAUAAAGUCAAGUAAGUUUUGAUAAUAUUGUGAACAAUGUCAGUGUCUUAUUUACGGCUGCCCUCGUGUCCUCCUGUGACGGGUGUUCACUUUUUUGUAUUUUGAACUAAGAGGCUCUGAGUUGGUAAUCAGACCUCACACAAAGGUGCAAAGUAAACUUUUCGUCAUUAUCCCUGAUUUCAGAUUUCAUUUCUGUUGUUACUUAAAGGGCAAAAUAAAAAUCAAGAGUUGUCAAGAGCAACUUCGAAUCUGAGUCAAAUUCUGCGUAAGUGAGGAUGUUCUCAAAGCUAAUAAAGAAACUGUGGGUGUGAUUACACAUUCAACAGUGAAAUUUCGCACAUGCAUCAUUUUUACUGUGCGGUUUUAUCACUUUAGUUUGAUAAGUUUUUGACUAUGCAUGAGGCUGAAGCACUUUAGUUUUUAUUUUUUUCCACAAUAAUUUCAAGAUCAAAAUCUGGGCGGAUAAAGCUGUCAAAACAGGAUGUGGAAAAAUGGUUUUGCCCAUUAAUUAUCAUAUUUCCUCAGUGUACGGUUGUGGAUAUCGUUUCACAGAGUAUGUUUCUUCGUGAUAUCUCUAUAAUGGGAAAUAAAUUCUUAUCGGUUUAAAGUGAAUAAUCUGCCGAGCAAUGAUGGAAGGAGCUGCACUUUAUAUCUCAAAUUUAAUCAAAACUGCAAGAAAAGCGGUGAGAAACAAGAAUGAUGACAGUGAAGGUGAAUACAGAAUAAAGGUAUAAAGAAGCUGUGUCAAUACAGCUGCAGUGCCAACAGAGAGGACAAAAAGAGGGCAAUUCCCCACCCACACCCUUUGUUUCCUCUCUGCACACUUACAGGAAUAUCAAGCACGCUGGCUUUUUUCAGACACACUAAAUCACCGUCGUUUAUCUUUUUUCAGCUUCAUGAAAGACUGCACCAUAAAUAAGGAUUUCACAUACAUGGACGUGCAGCUAAACUUUUUUACCAAUAAUCUAAUUUAUGUUUGAGCUGCAUGCAAACUAUUCACCUUGCACCCACCCACAUACCCCUGAAAAGACAAAGAGUUUACGAAACAGAGACCGCAGCAUCGGAAACUCACUACUGAAGUGAGAGGAGGAAGUUAAGCGUAUUCUUAAAAACUUUGCUGUAAAGUAUGAUGACUUUAAAUACUUCGACUAAUGCUCUGUAUGUAUGUUCACCUGUUAGACACAGAGAAAAGGAUGAGUAAUACUUCUGUUAAGUCACCCACAUACUCGUAUCAUUGUUAGAUUUCACAGCAGCAGAGCGUCCAGCGCUUCUUCAGAUGUGUCUCUUGUUGAGUUUGAGUGAGGCGGUGGCAUUGAAAACAAACUGUGAACAACAAAACAUAAAUGACAUCCCAAUAUGAAUAAGUGGCGACUGCUAGUAAGAACAAAACAAACUGAUUUAGAUGAGCAACAGCUGCGGCCAGGACACGUGCAAUGAUAACAGAGACUGUGUAAUAUCGAAAUACAGAGCGGGGAAAUUCACUUUAAAUGAAGGUUUGACCCUGUCCUGAUAUUGAAGACGAUGAGGGUCAUAACAACCAGAAAUAUCAGUUUUAAUUGAAUCACACAGAGAUGAAAAUCUCUCAUUGUAAUAGCUAGUAAAAGCAUUUUGGGGGGAUUAAGGUUGUCUCAUGUACUAAAAUGAUAACAGUCAGCACCUAUCACAAAUACAAUCUGUUUUAAUCAGUAACUUCCUCAAAAGUCAACAAAAUUAAUCCUGAUUUUGUGUUAUCCUAGUUCACAUCAAUACAACAAAAUAUCUGUGUAUUUUACUAUCUUUAUCUAUUUAAGUGACUGUCAGUCUGUGUAAAUCAAAGCUUUCACAAUUUAUUUUUUACUAAGGGGUUAUAAGAAAAGCAGAUGACAUUUUUACCUGGUUUGAUACUCAUCCCCCUGCUGUGUUAAGGACUUUAUUCUUAAGAUUCAAAAUCCCUUAAAAAUGGUAAUUAAUGCAGAAUAGCAAGAGCAAGACAGCCGACGAGAUCGACUGAGGCAAAGACUUUACUUUCUGAUAUGAUCACAUUGGUAAAGAUUGUGGCUAAAG